UACGAAGGUCCCGAGCGUUAUCCGGAUUUAUUGGGUUUAAAGGGUGCGUAGGCGGGUUAUUAAGUCAGUGGUGAAAGCCUACAGCUUAACUGUAGAAUUGCCAUUGAUACUGAUGAUCUUGAGUAUGAUUGAGGUGGGCGGAAUGUGUCAUGUAGUGGUGAAAUGCUUAGAUAUGACACAGAACACCGAUUGCGAAGGCAGCUCACUAAGUCAUAACUGACGCUGAUGCACGAAAGCGUGGGGAGCAAACAGG
rnacentral:rRNA from 1 species